UACGUAGGGUGCAAGCGUUGUCCGGAAUUAUUGGGCGUAAAGAGCUUGUAGGCGGUUUGUCGCGUCUGCUGUGAAAUUUCGGGGCUCAACCCCGAACUUGCAGUGGGUACGGGCAGACUAGAGUGUGGUAGGGGAGACUGGAAUUCCCGGUGUAGCGGUGAAAUGCGCAGAUAUCAGGAGGAACACCGGUGGCGAAGGCGAGUCUCUGGGCCGUAACUGACGCUGAGGAGCGAAAGCGUGGGGAGCGAACAGG
rnacentral:rRNA from 1 species